ACGGGUGAGUAACACGUGGGUAACCUGCCUCAAAGAGGGGAAUAGCCUCCCGAAAGGGAGAUUAAUACCGCAUAAUAUGUUUUGAUCGCAUGAUCUUAACAUCAAAGGAAUAGUCUUCGGAUUAUUUCACUUUGAGAUGGACCCGCGGCGCAUUAGCUAGUUGGUGAGGUAAAGGCCCACCAAGGCAACGAUGCGUAGCCGACCUGAGAGGGUGAUCGGCCACAUUGGAACUGAGACACGGUUCAGACUCCUACGGGAGGCAGCAGUGGGGAAUAUUGCGCAAUGGGGGAAACCCUGACGCAGCAACGCCGCGUGAAUGAUGAAGGCCUUCGGGUUGUAAAGUUCUGUCUUCUGGGACGAUAAUGACGGUACCAGAGGAGGAAGCCACGGCUAACUACGUGCCAGCAGCCGCGGUAAUACGUAGGUGGCAAGCGUUGUCCGGAUUUACUGGGCGUAAAGGAUGCGUAGGCGGACAUUUAAGUCAGAUGUGAAAUACCCGAGCUUAACUUGGGUGCUGCAUUUGAAACUGGGUGUCUAGAGUGCAGGAGAGGUAAGUGGAAUUCCUAGUGUAGCGGUGAAAUGCGUAGA
rnacentral:rRNA from 1 species